AAGUCAAAUUUAGCAGUGGGGAUCAUUUCUAUAGUUCUUUACAAGGAAGUUUCUCUGAACGUGUAGAGCCUGGAAAACCACUAGGAGGAGGCGCAGCGUUCUCUCCUGCGCAUGAAGCUGGCUUCUGGUGUUGCUUCGCUGAAACUGCCAUUUGCCAUUAAUGAUCAUUCUUCUCUUCCUUUGGGAGAGGAAGAGAGAGAGAACACAGUCUGAGUGGU